rnacentral:rRNA from 1 species
UACGUAGGGGGCUAGCGUUGUCCGGAAUCAUUGGGCGUAAAGCGCGCGUAGGCGGAUCUGCAAGUCGGGGGUGAAAUCCCGAGGCUCAACCUCGGAACUGCCUUCGAUACUGCGGGUCUCGAGUCCGGGAGAGGUGAGUGGAAUUCCUAGUGUAGAGGUGAAAUUCGUAGAUAUUAGGAAGAACACCAGUGGCGAAGGCGGCUCACUGGCCCGGUACUGACGCUGAGGCGCGAAAGCGUGGGGAGCAAACAGG